GAUGAAGAACGCAGUGAAAUGCGAUAAGUAGUGUGAAUUGCAGAAUUCAGUGAAUCAUCGAAUCUUUGAACGCACAUUGCGCCUUCUAGUAUUCUGGGAGGCAUGCCUGUUUGAGCGUCAUUAAACCUCUCUCAAGUAUGAUUACUUGGAUGUGAAGGAAGAGUAUCUUAAACUUAAGGAGUGUUCUCCUUUGAAAUUGAUUAGCAGAUGGUAAUGUUAUUAAAUCCCUGAUGUUGUAAGAAAUAACAGUGGUUUUGUAGACUAUUAUCUAGCUUUAAAUUAUAAUUUUUAUUAUGGUUGACCUCAAAUCAGGUAAGGAUACCCGCUGAACUUAAGCAUAUCAAUAAGCGGAGGA
rnacentral:misc_RNA from 1 species